rnacentral:rRNA from 1 species
AUUGAACGCUGGCGGCAGGCCUAACACAUGCAAGUCGAGCGGAUGAGAAGAGCUUGCUCUUCGAUUCAGCGGCGGACGGGUGAGUAAUGCCUAGGAAUCUGCCUGGUAGUGGGGGACAACGUUUCGAAAGGAACGCUAAUACCGCAUACGUCCUACGGGAGAAAGCAGGGGACCUUCGGGCCUUGCGCUAUCAGAUGAGCCUAGGUCGGAUUAGCUAGUUGGUGAGGUAAUGGCUCACCAAGGCGACGAUCCGUAACUGGUCUGAGAGGAUGAUCAGUCACACUGGAACUGAGACACGGUCCAGACUCCUACGGGAGGCAGCAGUGGGGAAUAUUGGACAAUGGGCGAAAGCCUGAUCCAGCCAUGCCGCGUGUGUGAAGAAGGUCUUCGGAUUGUAAAGCACUUUAAGUUGGGAGGAAGGGCAGUAAGUUAAUACCUUGCUGUUUUGACGUUACCGACAGAAUAAGCACCGGCUAACUCUGUGCCAGCGCCGCGGUAACAC